UUUAACGGCCGCGGUAUCCUAACCGUGCAAAGGUAGCGCAAUCAAUUGUCCCAUAAAUCGGGACCCGUAUGAAUGGCUAAACGAGGUCUUAACUGUCUCUUACAGGCAAUCGGUGAAAUUGAUCUCCCUGUGCAAAAGCAGGGAUAGACCCAUAAGACGAGAAGACCCUGUGGAACUUUAAAAUCAGCAACCACCCUAACACACAUACACGCCCAACACGGGCUCACUUAUCUAAAGGCCACUGGUUAGCAUUUUUUCGGUUGGGGCGACCUCGGAGCAAAACAAAACCUCCAAACAUUGGACCACACCUCCAGACUAAGAGCAACACCUCAAAGUACUAACAGUACCCAGAUCCAAUAUAAUUGAUCAAUGGACCAAGCUACCCCAGGGAUAACAGCGCAAUCUCCUCCAAGAGUCCAUAUCGACGGGGAGGUUUACGACCUCGAUGUUGGAUCAGGACAUCCUAGUGGUGCAGCCGCUACUAA
rnacentral:rRNA from 1 species